UGUUUACUUAUACUUACCGUCAAGUUUAAGGGUCGCUAUGUAUCAUGCCUUAACUUAUACGGGCCUUUUAUCCUACCCCUAAAUAGACACGUAGCACCCGUUUUCAAGCUUGAUUUCAUUCCGACCCUAAUAUCUUCUUCAUCGCUACCUCUUUCUCUGCUGAUUUUGUAUAUCUCUAUUUGAAUUCUCAAUAAUAUAUAAAUCGGGAGGAAUUGCAGACGGAAAUUGUUCAGGGAUGAAAAAGAGGUUAAGAGACGCGGGAGAAGAUUAUCUACUUGUGCCUUUGAUAUUCUCACGGUGAAUUGGAGAAUAUCAGGUAGUUGAUAGACAGCUGCCACGUAAUUUCUUUUUUAAUUCAUUGUUUUUUCUCUUUUUAGCUUUAAUAUCUUUUGUGAUUUCUGUGUUUGAUAUAGAUUUUAACUUUUUAAUCCAUUCCAAUUAUAACAGCUGUCGAUUCAGAAUUUGAAAUUAUCAAGUUUCAUGUGAUUUGAAUGUUGGAUAAUUUUGAUAUUACGCUCAGAAAAUGCAGAAAAUUCAUAGUCGUUUAAUUUUCCUUUAAGUACUCAUUAAAUCUUUGAUGUUCAACACCUGCGAGUUAACGCCCCAGGCUAUAAGCUGGCUUUAAGGUUUGUCAGCCCACUUCCCUUGAGUAACUAUCUUGCCCUCAACAUUUAUAUGAAUGGAUGCAGGUAGCAAUUCUUAUUAACGCACCGACAACAAUAACGACUACGUUCUAAUCUCAAACUGGUUGUGCCUUAUUAACAAAACCAAAAUUUGAAAAUGUUACACCGAAGGUAGGAGACAAAAGCCACUCUGUUGUUGUACCUGUUAUUUGGAAGGUAGGUUAUUACUCUUAAGUGUAAUAUUUAUGAAGAUUUGUUUGUGGAUUAUUGGUUAAGAAAAUUUAUUGAUAUCUCUGAAAGGAAAUAAUAUAAAGUUGAGUCAAAUUGGGCGGUUGGGUUGUGACUCAUCAUUUAGCCCGUCUUGAUCUAACUUUUUCCAAGCAAGCUUCGGGCAGAGUUGGGCUUUGGUCAUGUUCAUACUUGAGUUAUAAUUGAGAGGAAAGUUAUACUUUGCUUUAGCACCUGAUGUCAAGUAACAGGAAGCAACUCCUCAUAUGUAUGUACUGGCAUAUGUAAAGCUGCAACACAAUUUCUUUGCCAUGACGACUUUUUUUAGGUUUUCCAUGUCUAUCGUAAAUGUAAUUAAUGUUCUGGAGAAACUAAAAGUAUGUCAUUCAGGUGCUGUUUCCAUAGGUUUUCGACAAACAUGCUUUGUUCUGAAGAGUUACUUGAUGCAUGGUAGCAAAUACGAUAGUUCCUUAAGAAGUAAGGAGGAUACCCAUGCUGAAUUAAAUGCAUUUUUUCAGAGCUGUGGGUGAGACGUGCUAGAUGAAAUAAUAGAUGCUAACUUCUUCGUCUUUGUGGAAAAACCAGCCUGCCGAAUGGAUUGACUAAUGCGUCUCAAAUUACUUCCUUUGGCAGACAAGAGGAAGAAAAUAGUCUAUGUGGAGUAUUUUAGCAAGAGGCUGAACUCAAGCAGAAAGAAAGCCAGAUGAAAUGGAGAAACUGGUAACUCAGUAACUGCUUCUCAAUAGAAAUGAAGGAAAAUUAUUUUACAUUUCUUGCCAUGAAUUUUCUGGACUUCAAAAUUGGUGUAAACAAAGGGAUGGAAAAGAGGUUAAGAGACGCAGGAGAAGAUUAUCUACUUGUGCCUUUGAUAUUGUCACGGUGAAUUGGAGAAUGUCAGGUAGUUGAUAGACAGCUGUCAGGUAAUUUCUUUUUAAUUCAUUGUUUUUCUCUUUUUAGCUUUAAUAUCUUUUGUGAUUUCUGUGUUUGAUAUAGAUUUUAACUUUUUAAUCCAUUCCAAUUAUAACAGUUGUCGAAUCUGAAUUUGAAAUUAUCAAGUUUCAUGUGAUUUGAAUGUUGAAUAAUUUUGAUAUUACGCUCAGAAAAUGCAGAAAAUUCAUAGUCGCCUCGAUUAACCAGAUCCCAUGGGAUAGCAGUCGUUUAAUUUUCCUUUAAGUACUCAUAAAUCUUUGAUGUUCAACACCUGGGAGUUAACGCCCCAGGCUAUAAGCUGGCUUUAAGGUUUGUCAGCCCACUUCCCCUGAGAAACCAUCUUGCCCUCAACAUUUAUAUGAGUGGAUGCAGCUAGCAAUUCUUAUUAACGCACCAACAACAAUAACAGCUACGUUCAAACUGGUCGUUCCUUAUUAGCAAACCAAAAUUUUGAAAAUGUUACACCGAAGAUAGGAGACAAAAGCCACUCUGUUAUUGUACCUGUUAUCUGGAAGGUAGGAUAUUACUCUUCAGUGUAAUAUUUAUGAAGAUUUGUUUGUGGAUUAUUGGUUAAGAAAAUUUAUUGAUAUCUUUAAAAGGAAUAUUAUAAAGUUGAGUCAAAUUGGGCGGUUGGGUUGUGACUCAUCAUUUAGCCCAUCUUGAUCUAAUCCAUCUUUGUUCAAGCAAGCUUCGGGCAGAGUUGGCAUUGGUCAUGUUCAUACCUGAGUUAUAAUCGAGAGGGUUAUGCUUUGCUUUAGCACCUGAUGUCACGUAACAGGAAGCAACUCUUCAUAUGUAUGUACUGGCAUAUAUAAAGAUGCAACGCAAUUUGACUUGCAUGUCUAUCGUAAAGGUAAUUAAUGUUCUGGAGAAACUAAAAGUAUGUCAUUCAGGUGCUGUUUCCAUAGUUUUUCGACAAAAUUCACAAAAUUAAGAAUUAGUGAGGGAGUUGAAGGAAAAGAAGUAUACAAAGAGUACAGAUAAAUUUAAGAUGAUUCACAUCUACAAAAAACCAGCCUUCGCGUUCAACUAACGGUGCUUACGUUGAGCUUUAGAGAUUGUCUCUGUUUGCUAUAGAAACAUGCUUUGUUCUGAAGAGUUACUUGAUGCAUGGUACCAAAUACGAUAGUUCCUUAAGAAGUAAGGAGGAUACCCAUGCUGAAUUAAAUGCAGUUUUUCACAGCUGUGGGUGAGACGUGCUAGAUGAAAUAAUAGAUGCUAACUUCUUUGUCUCUGUGGUGAGAACCGAAUUUGUUAUCCAUUUUUUAUGUCAAUUGAAUUUGAAAUGGAGAAACUGGUAACGCAGUAGCUUCUUCUCAAUAGAAAUGAAGGAAAAUUAUUUUACAUUUCUUGCCAUGAAUUUUCUGGACUUCAAAAUUGGUGUAAACAAAGAUUGAAGUAGUGAAUGUAUCAGUUGUCCAGUCGAGAAUCAAGAGAUGUUUUCUAAGUGACGAUGUCAACGACAUGAGAAAAUAAGAGAAUGUGAUGAGCUCCAAUUGUGCUCCAGGUGAGUUAAUUAUGUUCUAAUGUAUUUCUGGACAGACUGACAAGGCUUCAAUGCUUGAUGAAGCCAUUGUUUACCUCAAGCAGCUUCAGCAAGUUCAAGUCUGCUGCUUUUGUUUGUAAUUUGCUGCCUGUGAUUUAUGAUUCAUGGGUUUGGUUCUAGCUUUCUCUGGAUGUAUUUUAAGUGCAUUUGGCAAGAUGGGAGUUAUUUUCUAUGGAAAUUAUUUUAUGUGAAAAAAAUGUAUAUUAAAGAUUAAUACUAAUAAUUAGCAAAUUGGAUUGCGUCUUAAUGAGAUUCCUGAUUAUAAAUGAUUGACAAUAAUGUCCAAGAAUGCUGAUAGACCCAAGUUUUGUGAGAUUCAAAAUUAAGAUAGUUGCAAAGAAAAAUGAGGCACAACACCAUAAUGACUUCUUUAUGGAAACAUUUUGGUGGAAAAUAACCUCUGUCGUACCAUCAAACUUUAUUCUUUCAAUUAGAAAGAGUGGCUUUUGGCUCAAAGAGGCCUAGACAGGUGUGUUUUGGUGCGAAUCCAUCUAAAUUCGAAGUAUAUCUUGAGGAGCUAAAUCCUCUCUGCCUUUGUCUUAGCUGGUGCUUUUCCUGGUUGAAUAGAUUUUAUGAACAAAAUCCCGCAUUUUCAAGAGGACCAUUAUUGUUUGUUUGAUGACAGCUGAACAGAUUAAUGACCAUCUGUUUCCUGUUUCUGGCAUCUGGUACUGAAUAUUGAACACUUUCAUUUUACUGUUUUAGUUUGGGAUUCAACUUUCUCCACCAAUGGCACUGUGUUUCACGAAAGGACCAUUUUAGCAGAAUCAAGACCUGAUCAAAUACCUAUAUUCUCCUUUCAUGUUCAUCUGAACAAUUUUGGCUUUCUUUUUCUGCAAUAUUGAAUAGGAACUAAUGCUAUAUGUUAUUUAGAAUCGUUCAGUUGGCAGAUGACUGUUCUUUCUCCUUAAUUGGAUGAUCAGUUGUAGCAACCAGCGCGUGGAGUGACAUUGGCAUCAUGAGUAACGCAUUGGCUUGAAUAUGUUUGUGGAUAAUUUUGAAUGAAAUAACGAGUGUCCUGUUCUGUGAUUAGUGGUAAUUGAAACUGAAAAGACUAAUGACCAAUUAGCACUGACUUAUAUCCCUCCCUUCGUCAAUUUCAACGGCACAAACAGUGAAGAAAUGCAUAUUUCAUAGUCAACUUUAUAAGUCUUUCUACGCUAAUUUGAUGAAAUUAGCUGAACAAGUUAUUAUAUUUGCAGAUUUUGCGGAGUAAGUAGUUAUUACUUAAGUUACUUUAUAUAAUAUUUCUGCUUCGUGAAAGUGUUUAAUCUCCCCUGUUUCCAAUUCUUUGGAUAUUCAGUAGUAAGAAAAAUGUCAUCUUACUUGACAACAAAGAUAGACCAAGCCCGAUUCUUUUAAUGCCUCAUUACAAAAGCCGAGAUUAUAGUUUCAUUGAGAAUCCUUUUUUUUUUUUGGGGUGUCGUGUGCUUGGCUGCAGCUUUGAAUUAUAAACAAUUACUAUAAAUUUAUUUUUUUUGUCCGUCGUAUGUGAUUUUUUUUUCCUCGUGCUGAGAAGAUUGCACCAGAGAAAUUCUUAUUUACAAGUUUAUUAAGGCAGUGUUUAGACAGAUGUGUCCCAAUCUUUGCGGAUCAAAUAGUUUAAAUAUCACAAUUGAUAAAAUAAUUAAUAUGGUCAAGCAAAUAAGAUAAUAUUUUUUUCUCUAGAUGUGCGGGUACGAUACUAGUAAAAGAAAGAAAACAUCCUGUCGAAAUGAACAAAUGUGUUCCAUUUUUUCAACCAGUUAUUUUAAAUAUGGAUUUAUUUGUUAAACUUAGUAUAAGGGUAUUGAUGAUAGAUUUAAGGAAAUAAUAAAGGGUAAUUUUAUCUUUUGGUGUUUAACCUGUGUAUUGUUAUUCCAUGUUAUAUUAGGUAUAAAAUAAUGCACGCAUUAGUGUACGAAAUUAUAUCUAGACUAGUGUACUUGUCCGCACUUCGCGCGAUCUUGAAAAAUAAUGCUUUUACAAAUACAAAAUCAUAAACCUAAUGAUAUAAAAAUGAAAAAAUACAAAAAAUUGAUGUGGAUAAGUAACAUAAAGGUAUAGAUAUUAAUUCACACAUUUAAUCUAAAAUACUCUCCCAAUGUCAUUUUAUGUAAAGGUAUUAUUGUUGGUAAAGUCAAAUAAUUUUUUCUUUAAUUAAAAUUUUCUCAGAACUUUUUAAAGUACUUUGCUAGGCUAAUCUUCCAAGAAAAAAUGAACCAAAUUUAGUGAUAGACUAUUUAGUUUAAUGGGGAUCUCAUAACGAAUUAAAAAGUAGUAAUAAUUUUGAAGAAAAGUGUCACGCCCCGAACCAUGGCCUGGACGUAACACGGCACUCGGUGCCUGACUGCAUGUGACCGAGCGAACCACAUGACCUGCUGAAUCAUCAUGAUACAUAACAUAAGCGGAAUAUAACGUGAAUGCAUGAUGAGCCUUUAUAAAACGUAGUUAGCCAUAAUACUUAAUAAAGUACUUGUUUAAACAUGAGUGAGCCAAAAUGGCUAUACGACUCCAAAUGUCCGACAUGACAUAACUAACUUGUCUAGUCUAUGAAACCUCUAUUAUGAGUCUGACUGGAAAACAUACUUACUGAGACAAGGCCCCCAGCAUACCUUUAGAUUCAAAACUAAAUAAAGAAAUACAAUGUCUAUACUCAUUGAACUAGUGAAUGUGUCAGAUUGAAGUAGUGAAUGUAUCAGUUGUCCAGUCGAGAAACAAGAGGUGUUUUAUAAGUGACGAUGUCAACGACAUGAGAAAAUAAAAGAAUUUGCUGAGCUCAAAUUGUGCUCCAGAACAACACCUAGGUGCAGAUGCCUCUUUAGCAAUACAUUGUUCCUGCCAGUUUACACGGACUAUUAGCAAAAGUUUGUGUUCUGCAAUUUGCUGAAGAAAAUUGUCAUAUGGAUGAAACUUUGUUGGAAUACCAAGCGCACGCCGUGGCAAGGCAGAUAUCUUCUCUGUGAGAGCUCGCUAAUCAAAUAGUCGAACAGUGUGAAGCUUUAAGAGUAAAAUGUGCAGUAGUAAGCCUUUGUAUCCCUUUUUAGGUGAAGUAAGCAGAAAUGUUUAACAGAUUGUAAUCUCUUUGCCAACAAUUAGUUUUUAAAUUAGCUAAUAUAUGAGGCAAAGUUGGUGACUCAGAGGUGGAGUUAUGGAAGUGCAUGCUAAGUUGCUACCAAAGGAGCACCAGCUGCACGGCCGGUGGUCUACUGGUUAUGCUGAAUGAAAGUCACCCCCAGUUGAAACUCCACCUCUCUCCAAUCUCAAUGCCUUUGUUGAUUACUUCUGGCUGGAGAUUUCUACAUCAGUCACUGUCAUGUAAUACUUACAUUGCCUUCUACUUCCGUUAGUGUUAUUUGUAUAGCAGUAUUUCCUUUUGUUUCGUGCAAUUGAAAUGUGUCGACAGUAAUAGAAUGUAAAACUCUUUUUUGCUUUCUUGAGGCGAUAUUUCAUGUUGGGAAGAACAUUCAUUAUUUAUGAUAAAUCUGAUUUGAAAUAA